GACUCUCCUGGAAUAACUUUGCAGUCCUUGCACAUACCUCUAUCACUCCUUCUGAGGAGGAGGUAAUCAAUCUGAGUCCUCGCCGCCGAACUCUUGAAGGUGACCAAAUGCUCAUCCCUCUUCCAAAAAUAGACAUAAAACCUUUGAAAUUGUUUGGCCUCACUAGAAUUAGUAAUUGGCAGAUGCUACCAUUAAGAUGGAGUACCAAACAAAAUUUUGCGCACGUUCCUCUAUGCUUUAUUUAGACAGAAAAUGUGUUCUGAAAUACAACGAUGCCAACAAUCUGCCUUAUAAUCGCAAAUGGAGAUCCGCUCAGUAUUUUUCAUACAAGGAAUUAAAGCACUAUAUAUAUAUAUGAAAUUGGAGAGGGAUUUCCAAUUUGCAAUAUAUAUAUAUAUAUAUAUAUAUAUAUAUAUAUAUAUAUAUAUUACUCAAAGAAAGACGAAUUUUUUCUGUUCAAAUUAAUACUAAAAUUAGAGCUAAGCACCAAACCUAGCCCUAAAAUUUCAAAAAAAAAAAAAAAGGAAAAGAAGAAAAAGGGGAGGAUGAGGAAGAAGGUUUCAGGGGACUAGGGCAGAGAUGUUACCCUUAAAGAGAUUGAUGAAGAGAAAUCCUUGGUUGUAGCCUGAAGGAGAUGAAGAGAAACUGUAUGGUGAAGAGAUGGAAAAUGCUGUCGUGAAACGAUGAAAGUGGUGUAGAUUACCAACCCG
rnacentral:lncRNA from 1 species